GUCAGUCUGCAGAGAAAUUUGCAGAUAAAGAGAGUUUUGGAAAUGAACUCCCGAUCAACUGCCUGAAAUGCUGGAAAAUCCUAAAGCGAAUUCAACGACAGCAUAAUCUUGAAAGACAGAUCAGUGUGAACGUGGCGAAAGCAGAAAAAAUGAAUUCGAUGGCAUAUGGUUAAAUCCUAAGUGUUGAGAAAUGGGCAAUCAGCAGCCAAGCUCCGAACAGGAGAAGGUUCAACGACUAUUCCUCUUGAGGGAAGUAGGAUCAAGCGAUCCGAAGUGGGCAGCCCCUAACACGUUAUGGUGAGGGAGAAGAUAUAGUCUGUGCUUGUAUGAAAAUACAAG
rnacentral:ncRNA from 1 species